rnacentral:rRNA from 1 species
GACGUAGGAGGCGAGCGUUAUCCGGAUUCACUGGGCGUAAAGCGCAUGUAGGCGGAUGUCUAAGUCGUGUGUUAAAGCCCCUGGCUCAACUGGGGGAGGUCAUGCGAGACUGGAUGACUUGAGGGCAACAGAGGCACGUGGAACUCCCGGUGUAGCGGUGGAAUGCGUAGAGAUCGGGAAGAACACCCGUGGCGAAGGCGGCGUGCUGGGUCGGAACUGACGCUGAGGCAUGACGAAGCGUGGGGAGCAAACGGGAUUGA